UGGUGGAGUGAUUUGUCUGGUUAAUUCCGUUAACGAACGAGACCUCAGCCUGCUAAAUAGUUGGGAGAAUCUUCUAAAUGGGUGAAGCGUUGAUUUGGUGUGGCGGCUUGCUGUCAUUCCUAUUGGCGUGGAUCCUUGAUGUAUUCUUCAAUAUACUUCUUAGAGGGACUAUUGGUAUCUAGCCAAUGGAAGUUUGAGGCAAUAACA
rnacentral:rRNA from 1 species